rnacentral:rRNA from 1 species
GAUGAACGCUGGCGGCGUGCUUAACACAUGCAAGUCGAACGAAGCAAUCUUAGAAAGCCUCUUCGGAGGCGGACUGGGAUUGACUGAGUGGCGGACGGGUGAGUAACGCGUGGAUAACCUGCCUCAUACCGGGGGAUAACAGUUAGAAAUGACUGCUAAUACCGCAUAAGCGCACAGUACCGCAUGGUACGGUGUGAAAAACUCCGGUGGUAUGAGAUGGAUCCGCGUUUGAUUAGCUGGUUGGCGGGGUAACGGCCCACCAAGGCGACGAUCAAUAGCCGGCCUGAGAGGGCGACCGGCCACAUUGGGACUGAGACACGGCCCAAACUCCUACGGGAGGCAGCAGUGGGGAAUAUUGCACAAUGGGGGAAACCCUGAUGCAGCGACGCCGCGUGAAGGAAGACGUAUUUCGGUAUGUAAACUUCUAUCAGCAGGGAAGAAGAUGACGGUACCUGACUAAGAAGCCCCGGCUAACUACGUGCCAGCCGCCGCCGUAAUAC